GGCUUAGUUCUAAGGUCACCAGUUACACAC
rnacentral:piRNA from 1 species